UUUUUUUUAUUUAUUUAUUUUUUUCUAUAGCUCAAAGUAAGUGCUAUUAAGUAACAAAAAGUUACCAUUUAAUAUAAUAUAAAUAUGUAGAAGGCACAUGCAAAAAUGUGUGAAUAAUUAAAAAGUGGAUCUAAUUCUCAUGCGCAUUACGUCGGAAACUUUAUAGCUUUGGUUAAGUAAUACCAAUAGUGUACUUUUCUUGAAUUUCUAGCUUUUUAGGUUCUAUGGAUUCUCAACAAAAGGGGAUGCCAUUGUUAUGUGGUUGCUCAAUACUUGGAUAACACUCAAAACCAAAGCGAUGCAAUCGAGGGGAAGGAGUGUGCAGCUCGACCGAUAAGGAGUCGAGGAGAAGUAACUGAUAAGGAGACAAGGAGAUGGAGCGGUGCAACUCGACUGAUAAGGAGCCGAGAGGAAGGAGCGGUGCAACUUGAUCGAUAUGGAGUCGAGAGGAAGGAGCGGUGCAGCUCGACCGAUAAGGAGCCAUACAACUCAACCGAUAAGGAGCCGAGGGGAAGGAGCGAUGCAGCUCGACCGA